ACACCCCUCACACUUCCUGCAGCGCAGGACAACACAGGCUGCUUAAAGGCACAGGAGUCUCACUUCAGACCGAACCCCUCAGAGACGGGCAGGAGCAACUGUGGUCACCACUGAUGGGCGUUUUUCUACUCUUUCAACAGUGGAGGAUACAUGUUACUGGUCUGUGGAGCAAUGGUGUCAGAAUGGUGAAUAGAGCAUUGCUGGACCAUUAGCUGUUGAAAAGGUAGAAGUCCUGCCGGUAUGUGGUGGCGGGAAAACGUGUGAACAGCAGAGGGCGCCAUAAUGGCACGACCACCGGACAUGUCUUGUAGAGGCGUUGUCCAUUGUAACGAGCAGGGAAAGAAGAGGGAAGCGGCUUCUGGACAUCGGUCAGUGCAGGGAACAGCGCUGCAGGCCUGCCAGCGGGUCACUUUAGCAGAUCUCUUUGAGUCCCUUAGAAAUGUAGUGUGUCCUUCGACUCAGAAGACCCCUGCCAAGUGGAAGAUCCUUGAUCAUGCCAAGGGAUUUCUACUUGAGAAGGAGGCCUACCUCAGUAAAUUACUUGCACUGAAAGCCGUUUUCCUGCAAGAUGAUGGAGGACCAAAGAGUUUGGAAGAGGUGCGAGAACAGUAUAAGAGACUGUAUUCCAAAUGCUUUUUGCACACCUGUAGAUGCAGGCAUAGAAUUCAUGUGCCUGAUGUGGACCAAGGACCAUGUAGCAAUGAGGAAGACUCUGCUGAUGAGGAAGUGGAUGUAGCACUGCAGUCCCAGUCCUCUGGGUUAUCUGCCUACAGCAUCCAGGAGUUUGAGGGAUAUCUCUUUUUAUACAGGCAGACUCUAGAGCUCUUACUGCGCAGUGGAAUCCUCUCCCCAGACCAGACGGGCCUGUCUAUGGUGUCAGAGGCCAUCUCAGGCCUGUGGAAUAGCCUGCCUCCAGAGCAAAGGGCUGCAGUCCAGCAGUGCACACUGAAAGAAAGUGCUGUCACUUGGAUAGAACCAGCUAAUAACACCCCCUGCAGCUCACUGGACUCAUCCCAGCUUACCAACUUAAACGCAUCUGGAACUGCCUUCGAGGAGGAUCUUCUUCAGGAUGCUUAUGAUGUGGUGCAGAGAGACAUGGAUGACACUACAGCAAACAGCCCUUCACUGGUGCCUCCACUGAAUGGUGACAAUGAGAAGCUGAGUGAAAUCUACAAAGACGUUAUGGGCUUCGUCAGGAGCCACAUGUCUGAGGACCAGAAACUCACGCAGGACUGAGAAUUCCCACCAUCCACCCAAAAAUAUCCAGCCAACAGUGUCCUAUGGGCAGUGUCCUGUGACCAUUGAUGAAGGACUAGAGGACGACCAACACAAACUGUACUGCAACAGAGCUAUUCUCUCUGACCUUAUAUCUACAAGGUGGACCAACAAGAGUCUGGCAGGCCAAGCGGGAGGCAAAGGCUUCUGAGGGCUGAGAUCUGAGCAGGAGCGGCCUGAUGCUGCAGACAGGUAUGAACAGAAGAGAGACCGCAGCGGUUGGAUGUGUCACAGACACUCGGAGAAAGUUUCCAUCAGAGCAGCCGGCGAUAAAAAAAAGGAGCAGACUCGUUUAGUGCACUGGAAGACGAAGAGAAACUUGCUCUUUUUUUGUAUCUUUCUAGAACUCACUCCACAUCUUUCUCCCAUGCACAAGAAACUCCCUUUGUCUCCCAUAUUCAAAGGGGCCGAACCUUUACAGCACACUGAAGGUUUUAUUUACUACUCCUGGGUGAUAAAGUGCUGAUGGGAUACACUUUACUGAUUCUGAGCCUAGAAAAGUAAAACAACUGAAGUGAACAAGACUGACCACACAACAUUAAUCAUACAGACUAACCAUACACAUACGGUUGCUAUAGUUUGCAAAAGGGAAUGUAAACACCUCACUACACUGAAAAAAUGAUAAAGCGCUUGGGCUUUAAAUUGGUGGAGGAUUCAAUUAUUUAAACCAGCAGUUUUCAAAAUAUUGGACCAAAUAUCAUCCUUGACUAAACCAAAAAAACAACAACAAAAAACCCUACAUACUAGGGCAUAAUCAUAAAACUGACUGAUAUCACACAAAAAAGGAAUUGGAAAAUCAAAUUUCCACUGAUAAAAGAGGUCUUCUAUGUUGUAAACCAAGGUCUUCUAUGUUGUAAACCAAGGUCUUCUAUGUUGUAAUGCGUAUACUUUUAUAUUCAUAAAAGGAUCCAUAAUAGUAGUGGGCAGUACACUGGUUAAAAUUCUGAGAUAAACAUUAUAAUCGCACGCCACAAAUAAGCACAAAUAACAGAACAUGCAAGCAGUUAUCCCAAUUGGUUGAACAGCUGGGCCAGGGAUCACAAUUCAAAUAAAAAUGAAAAUGCAGCAGAUCCUCAAUCACCUCUCGCGGUCCAGUUUGUUGCAUCUGAAGUAGUCCACUUUUAUUUUUUCACCACAGCAGACAUAAUUGAAUAGCUGGCCUUUUGGGGUUUGUGUCAGUCUAACACGGACAACAAAGUGCUCCUGUUUAUCCUCGUACCUCCUAAUAGGAGCAGCCUGACUCAAUCAGCUGCAUCACACAACAUUCUUAGCGUUUUUGUGUGCAACAACUUGUAGACCAGCUGGUACUAACAGUGGUUAGUUUCAUUUAUUCAAUUUAGAUUGACUAUGACCAUGCAUAUUAAUCAGCAUUUCUGUAAAUGUGCCAGUAUAGCCAAUUUGGCUCAUUCAAAAUAAAUGCAUUUUUCCCCCCAAUUUCCAGCUGUGUCUGACAGUUGGAGGUACAAGUGCAUAAACCACACAAAUCACAGACAAAUUUGACUAGUUUCAUUUUUUCGUGUUUCUCAUUCCACCUUCAAAGGUGUAGCAGUUACACCCAGGUGCCUGUACAGCUGCCCCACUAAUUCAGAAGUGAAAUAACAUUUAGCACUGUUUUUGUCAGGCCUGCAAAUCUAGUGUCAGAAUGCAAUAUUGACAUGGAUUUGUCUAUUGGUUUUUCCGUUUUGAUUCUACUAUAUUGCACAAUUUUUUUCUGAUUUACUUUGGAUCUUAAAAAUGAUUCUUACUGUAAGGUACAUUCCAAAACAAUAAGCCACAGUUAGCCUGUAAGAAUAGGUCCAAUUAAGAAUCAAAAACAGUUCAUUUCCAUUACUUCCAAACAUACCGUAUUCAAAGGCCUGAAUCAGUGAAAAAUGCUAUCAUGAGUUUAGACACAUCACCUCCCUCACUCCCCUAUGGUGUGACCACAGGGUCUGUUUCAGAUCUGUGGAAAGCACUGGAUGGUUAUCUUAAGUGAAAUGGAAAAAUAGCUCAUUUUAAAGCUUAGUAAAGAUUAAAGAAGUGUAAAAGUAGAGGAGGCAGUGGAUAGGGCAAGAUGGAGGCAGAUGAUCCGCAGUGGCGACCCCUAAAGGGAGCAGCCGAAAGAAGAAGAAGUAAAGAUUAAAGAAGAAAUAUUGUAUAUAUAUCAGCUGAUAAAGUUCUUAAUCUGUUUUGGUAGAGAGUAAAAGAAAAAGUGAUAUCUAAUUUCUGGUAUUAUGCUCUUAUUCUAAUCUUGAUAAGAUACUUCUAAGCCACCAGUAACAAACUGUUCACCUUUAAGAUUGCAAUACCAGCUGACCUGGUGAACACCACUAUGAUUACAAUAACAAAAGAGUAAAUGCAUUAAAAUCUGAUCGUUAUCAUAAGAAUAAUGUGUCAUAACAAAAAGAAACUUUUGUGAAGAAAACACAACUAAACACUAAAGCUGGGGUGCUCUGCAACCUGUAAGUAGCCAUGCUGUGAUUUUAUCCAUGACAUUGAAGCCAGAUCAUCGUAAAUUGAAAUUUUCAUAAUGAGCAAACAAUUUGUUGAGAUACAACAUAACAAAUGAGAGAGUCUGGUAGUCUAAUAGUGUAGCCUAGCUUAUUUACAGAGAGGUUUAUUUUCUUUUCCUGCUUGUGUCUAUCUUGACCUGUUGUGUUAGCCACCACAGUGCAACGCUGUAAACCGGUAAUCAGAGCCCAGGUCAUCAAAUUAUUCAUGAUCCCACCAAAAAAGUGAAAACAGCUUGUUUCAUUCUAGGGCCAAAUGAGAGGGUUGUAAAUGGGUGUGUAUAACUACAUCUGGGCAUUUUUCACCCUGAGCAGUCACAAACCUUCUAUGUAGAGGACAAUUUAAAAUGCUGAGUAAAUGCAAUUUAUGGCACUUUUAACCAAGCAAGGCCUAUAACAGAUAAUACAACACAUAUAUGUACCUUAGUUUUAUCCACGUGUCUAACUUGCAUGCUUUCUGUGCACAGGAUAUAUUGAUUUCACUUGUCAGCUUUGCCCAAUGUAGAGGCAUUUGACCAUGACAUAGUUCUCCAUGUCACACAGUACAGCAGUGGGAUGUAAGAGCUAUGGUACUGACCAAAGCUAGCUGUGUAUUGUUCACCCUUCUCCUUCCUGAAGCAUCUCUCCCUGCUUCAAGAUAGAUUAUGUUAAUAAGAUCCUAA